rnacentral:rRNA from 1 species
AAACUAACAAGCUUGCUUGUUGGGGUUGUAGGACACUCUAUACGGAGUUACAAAAGAACAUGUUAGACGAAUCAUCUGGAAAGAUGAAUCAAAGAAGGUAAUAAUCCUGUAGUCGAAAACAUAUUCUCUCUUGAGUGGAUCCUGAGUACGACGGAGCACGUGAAAUUCCGUCGGAAUCUGGGAGGACCAUCUCCUAAGGCUAAAUACUCUCUAGUGACCGAUAGUGAACCAGUACCGUGAGGGAAAGGUGAAAAGUACCCCGGAAGGGGAGUGAAAGAGAACUUGAAACCGUGUGCUUACAAGUAGUCAGAGCCCGUUAAUGGGUGAUGGCGUGCCUUUUGUAGAAUGAACCGGCGAGUUACGAUCUGAUGCAAGGUUAAGCAGCAAAUGUGGAGCCGCAGCGAAAGCGAGUCUGAAUAGGGCGUUGAGUAUUUGGUCGUAGACCCGAAACCAGGUGAUCUACCCUUGGUCAGGUUGAAGUUCAGGUAACACUGAAUGGAGGACCGAACCGACUUACGUUGAAAAGUGAGCGGAUGAACUGAGGGUAGCGGAGAAAUUCCAAUCGAACUUGGAGAUAGCUGGUUCUCUCCGAAAUAGCUUUAGGGCUAGCCUCAAGUGAUGAUUAUUGGAGGUAGAGCACUGUUUGGACGAGGGGCCCCUCUCGGGUUACCGAAUUCAGACAAACUCCGAAUGCCAAUUAAUUUAACUUGGGAGUCAGAACAUGGGUGAUAAGGUCCGUGUUCGAAAGGGAAACAGCCCAGACCACCAGCUAAGGUCCCAAAAUAUAUGUUAAGUGGAAAAGGAUGUGGCGUUGCCCAGACAACUAGGAUGUUGGCUUAGAAGCAGCCAUCAUUUAAAGAGUGCGUAAUAGCUCACUAGUCGAGUGACACUGCGCCGAAAAUGUACCGGGGCUAAACAUAUUACCGAAGCUGUGGAUUGUCCUUUGGACAAUGGUAGGAGAGCGUUCUAAGGGCGUCGAAGCAUGAUCGCAAGGACAUGUGGAGCGCUUAGAAGUGAGAAUGCCGGUGUGAGUAGCGAAAGACGGGUGAGAAUCCCGUCCACCGAUUGACUAAGGUUUCCAGAGGAAGGCUCGUCCGCUCUGGGUUAGUCGGGUCCUAAGCUGAGGCCGACAGGCGUAGGCGAUGGAUAACAGGUUGAUAUUCCUGUACCACCUAGUAUCGUUUUAAUCGAUGGGGGGACGCAGUAGGAUAGGCGAAGCGUGCUGUUGGAGUGCACGUCCAAGCAGUAAGGCUGAGUGUUAGGCAAAUCCGGCACUCAUAAGGCUGAGCUGUGAUGGGGAGAGGAAAUUGUUUCCUCGAGUCGUUGAUUUCACACUGCCGAGAAAAGCCUCUAGAUAGAUAACAGGUGCCCGUACCGCAAACCGACACAGGUAGUCAAGAUGAGAAUUCUAAGGUGAGCGAGCGAACUCUCGUUAAGGAACUCGGCAAAAUGACCCCGUAACUUCGGGAGAAGGGGUGCUCUUUAGGGUUCACGCCCAGAAGAGCCGCAGUGAAUAGGCCCAAGCGACUGUUUAUCAAAAACACAGGUCUCUGCUAAACCGUAAGGUGAUGUAUAGGGGCUGACGCCUGCCCGGUGCUGGAAGGUUAAGAGGAGUGGUUAGCUUCUGCGAAGCUACGAAUCGAAGCCCCAGUAAACGGCGGCCGUAACUAUAACGGUCCUAAGGUAGCGAAAUUCCUUGUCGGGUAAGUUCCGACCCGCACGAAAGGCGUAACGAUUUGGGCACUGUCUCAACGAGAGACUCGGUGAAAUCAUAGUACCUGUGAAGAUGCAGGUUACCCGCGACAGGACGGAAAGACCCCGUGGAGCUUUACUGUAGCCUGAUAUUGAAAUUCGGCACAGCUUGUACAGGAUAGGUAGGAGCCUUUGAAACGUGAGCGCUAGCUUACGUGGAGGCGUUGGUGGGAUACUACCCUAGCUGUGUUGGCUUUCUAACCCGCACCACUUAUCGUGGUGGGAGACAGUGUCAGGCGGGCAGUUUGACUGGGGCGGUCGCCUCCUAAAAGGUAACGGAGGCGCUCAAAGGUUCCCUCAGAAUGGUUGGAAAUCAUUCAUAGAGUGUAAAGGCAUAAGGGAGCUUGACUGCGAGACCUACAAGUCGAGCAGGGUCGAAAGACGGACUUAGUGAUCCGGUGGUUCCGCAUGGAAGGGCCAUCGCUCAACGGAUAAAAGCUACCCCGGGGAUAACAGGCUUAUCUCCCCCAAGAGUUCACAUCGACGGGGAGGUUUGGCACCUCGAUGUCGGCUCAUCGCAUCCUGGGGCUGUAGUCGGUCCCAAGGGUUGGGCUGUUCGCCCAUUAAAGCGGUACGCGAGCUGGGUUCAGAACGUCGUGAGACAGUUCGGUCCCUAUCCGUCGUGGGCGUAGGAAAUUUGAGAGGAGCUGUCCUUAGUACGAGAGGACCGGGAUGGACAUACCUCUGGUGUACCAGUUGUCGUGCCAACGGCAUAGCUGGGUAGCUAUGUAUGGACGGGAUAAGUGCUGAAAGCAUCUAAGCAUGAAGCCCCCCUCAAGAUGAGAUUUCCCAACUUCGGUUAUAAGAUCCCUCGAAGAUGACGAGGUUAAUAGGUUCGAGGUGGAAGCGUGGUGACACGUGGAGCUGACGAAUACUAAUCGAUCGAAGACUUAAUCAAUUU